GACCCGAGGGGGGCCCCCACGCCCGCUCUGGCCUCUCAGGUCAGGCCCUCCCCUCCCCUCCCCUCCCCUCCCCCGCCCCUGUGUCUCCGCGAGCCGGCUGUGUGCCUGCGAGAGCGUGCACACCCGCGGGACCUUCCCUUUUGUUCCACCCUGACCUCUACCUUCUCUACCUUGUGCUGACCCCGCUGGGGUGCAGGGGUUCCCUUCGGAGGAGGCCGGGGCUCAAGUGGACGGCCUCUCAGGAGAUCCUGACCACCCUCUGGGAACCUGGACUCCUCCAAGCAUCGUCUUUCUCGCCUGCAUCUUCGGAGAGAGGUGCUGAGCCCUUCCUCAUGGAUACGGGGUCCCGGGAGGCAGCCUUCACCAGGGACCUGCCCAGGAAACCAGCAGAUGCCCAGCUGUAGCUGUGCAUUGAUGGCGCCGUGCGGCCCGGCCGCAGGUCCCGCAGCCGUGGAGAGGACCCAGCAGGUGGCGCGGGGAGAGCCCGGCUCGGCACGUGGUCAGCUCCAAGUCAGCCCUGAAAUGUCCAUUACUCACAAAGAAAAGGAAAAUGCUCAUUUGAAAGAAAUUCUUCUCUUUGUCAAUGCUGAGGCAUUCUCUCAGCCCCAGCCCCACAGUGCUCCAGUGUGUGAAGGGCAACAGCUGACGGGGAAGUUCAGCACAUCUGUGCUGACCAGGGCUGGAGGCGAUGCCAGUCCGUGCAGCUGGGAACGCCUCCUCUGCUAUGGCUGGAGCCACUGCUGAAGGGACUCCACCUGGCACCUAUGCCACCAAUGGCCCCUGAACGGGUAUCUAGGCCCACCCUUAAUAAAGAUGAGCUGCUCAUUCCCA
rnacentral:lncRNA from 1 species